rnacentral:rRNA from 1 species
UACGUAGGGUCCGAGCGUUUGUCCGGAAUUACUGGGCGUAAAGAGCUCGUAGGUGGUUUGUCGCGUUGUUCGUGAAAACUCACAGCUCAACUGUGGGCGUGCGGGCGAUACGGGCAGACUUGAGUACUGCAGGGGAGACUGGAAUUCCUGGUGUAGCGGUGGAAUGCGCAGAUAUCAGGAGGAACACCGGUGGCGAAGGCGGGGUCUCUGGGGCAGUAACUGACGCUGGAGGAGCGGAAAAGCGUGGGGGAGCGAAACAGG